rnacentral:rRNA from 1 species
CACGUAGGGCGCGAGCGUUGUCCGGAAUUAUUGGGCGUAAAGAGCUCGUAGGCGGCCUGUUGCGUCCGCUGUGAAAGCCCGGGGCUUAACCCCGGGUCUGCAGUGGAUACGGGCAGGCUAGAGGUAGGUAGGGGAGAAUGGAAUUCCCGGUGUAGCGGUGAAAUGCGCAGAUAUCAGGAGGAACACCGAUGGCGAAGGCAGGUCUCUGGGCAUUAACUGACGCUGAGGAGCGAAAGCGUGGGGAGCGAACAGG